GACGAACGCUGGCGGCGUGCUUAACACAUGCAAGUCGAACGAAGAGCGAUGGAAGCUUGCUUCUAUCAAUCUUAGUGGCGAACGGGUGAGUAACGCGUAAUCAACCUGCCCUUCAGAGGGGGACAACAGUUGGAAACGACUGCUAAUACCGCAUACGAUCUAAUCUCGGCAUCGAGGAUAGAUGAAAGGUGGCCUCUACAUGUAAGCUAUCACUGAAGGAGUGGAUUGCGUCUGAUUAGCUAGUUGGAGGGGUAACGGCCCACCAAGGCGAUGAUCAGUAGCCGGUCUGAGAGGAUGAACGGCCACAUUGGGACUGAGACACGGCCCAGACUCCUACGGGAGGCAGCAGUGGGGAAUCUUCCGCAAUGGACGAAAGUCUGACGGAGCAACGCCCGCGUGAGUGAUGACGGCCCUUUCGGGGUUGUAAAAGCUCUGUUAAAUCGGG
rnacentral:rRNA from 1 species